UACGGGGGGGGUAAGCGUUGUUCGGAAUUACUGGGCGUAAAGGGCUCGUAGGCGGCCAACUAAGUCAUACGUGAAAUCCCUCAGCUUAACUGGGGAACUGCGUGUGAUACUGGAUGGCUUGGAUUUGGGAGAGGGAUGCGGAAUUCCGAGGUGUAGCGGUGAAAUGCGUAGAUAUCUGGAGGAACACCGGUGGCGAAGGCGGCAUCCUGGACCAAUAUUGACGCUGACUGAGCGAAAGCCAGGGGAGCAAACGGG
rnacentral:rRNA from 1 species